UAAAGCCAGGGGUAUCAAAAGGGAAAUUUACCAAAGUUUAAAAUUAACCUAUUUCUUCUCCCCACCUACAGCAAACUCACGAAACUUUUUCCCCUUCUCUUUGUUGUUGUUGUCCAUUGCAUCCCCAAGCAUCCUUCACUUAUUUUGUCUUCCAAACAUCAAUUCUUUUUAUUCUUAUCAUCUUCCAAGCAUUAAAUCUCUCUAGAAUUUCAGAAUAACACUAAAAAUACCAUCAAUUUUGUCAUCUCCCAAACCUGUGAGUUUUCUGGAUUUCCAACCAAACGUUCAUUUUUCUCCCAUCGAAGUUUAAACUUUCGACGACAAGGCAAAAACGCGAACAGUGAGUGUUUGGAAUCGCUACUUAUAAACACGAUUCAUAGUGUUAUUUGGGAACUUAGGAGUAGCCUAAACCCUACUCUAAGUUUUGAGUACUGUUAGCAUUGCGGUUGAGCGGUGUGAAAAAUUUCCAAGGGAGUGAUCCAAGUAGAUUUAGCAUUUGAGUAGGUGAUUUAUAGUUGUUUUAUACUGCGGGAAUAAGGCAAUGUGGUAGAAUUUUUAUUUUUCUAUUUCCAUGAUGUUUUAGAUGUUUUCUCGAUAUUAUUACUUGUAGAAAUUAUGGAUGUUUGUUAUUAGUUCAUUGGAUGGUUUAGUUUAAAUUAUUGAUGUUACAUGGAAUUGCAGAUUCUGAUUUUUUUUAUACUGAAUUUUGAAGUUAUAAAUGCAUGAUGAUUUAGUAUAUGUAUGGUUGUGUAAAA